AUAACCUUUGGAUUGUAAGGUAUUUUCCAUUUUUUUUUUUUUUAUUACCUGGGGUCAGAAAUGUUAUGAUCGAUUUAUCUGUCUUUCUGGGAUUUAGCAGUAGGACUAAUACUGACUUACUCUAUGGUUUUAGUCAAAGCCUGGACUGAGACAGCUGGUUACACAGUGAUUAGGGCAGUUUUCAAUUCAGAAGAGAGAUAGCCUUAGGUAGGGAGAAGGUAUAAUUAUAAUCAUCUAAUGGGGAUUUUACAAAAAGAGACACAUAUCCUAUCUCAACUGUUUGGAGGGGGGUGGGUAUUAGAGGCAGAGGGAGAACUAAGGAAACAUUUUGAAAAAACUCCCUUAGAUAUGUUUUAUGUACUUAUCAUCUAAGAAAUAUUAGCUUAAGGAAUACUAAUCAUUUGAACAAGAAGAGUCUUUAAAUUUCAACACUAUACUAAGCCAGAUCACAAGAAAGACCUAGUCUUACAGUCUAGAAAUAACUAGAUUAUGUUAAACUGCUUCUGCCUCCAUCAACUUCCUGUAUGGAACAGUGACUUAACAUUCUGUUCAACAUCCACAAACACCUCCAUACUUGGAUAUACAGAGGUCUUUUGUACAGUUUCCUGUCUCCAAGAAUUUCUAGGAUUCUUUAGGAUACCCAAUGUAUCUACAAAUCCAGUGAUCUUUUUGCUUACCGGGACCCCCGGAAGGCUAGUCCCCACAGCCAUCGGCUCCAUGGCAUGAUUGCUCCUGUGGCUCCCUGGAGUGCGGUUACCACUGCCUAGGCUACUGUUUGUUCCAUUUGGCGUCAUUGUGGCCCGAUGCUAUUCUCAAUCUUUACCAUACUACGGCAGUUUAGUCAGCUUUCAUCAAUGUAGAGGGAAGGUUUUCUCCUUCUAAAUUAUACUGUUAGGGUUGGCCACAGUGAGGUGUUUUGGUCACAAAAUGUAAAGUUUAGUAAGAGUCCUUUUAGCUCAUGUGUCUGGCCCUUUUUCUGGAGAGUCUCUAGAGUUGUUGGCUGAGGACAGGUUUUCAUGGCCAGAAACCAUCACUUCCCUUGGACUUGCCUGCCUUGGUUGUGCACUAAGAGCCAGAUUUCUUUCUUCCUUAGAGCAGUUUUUUUUUUCCCCAGUGCUCUCGUAGUCCUUGUCUACAGGCUGGCUUAAGUUCAGCCCCUUUUGGUCCAUGAGACUGGUAGCUGAGUUUGAAUAUUGGUGCUAUUUCUGGAAGGCUUGCUCCUUUCCCCUCCAGAAAGUUUUCUUGUGGAAGGCAUUUUCCUGCUCUGGAAGGUUCUGCAACUUUCACUGCACAUCAGUAAGCACAACUGGAUAAAUGUAGGAUGAGCGUGUGUCACUUGGCAUACUAGGCCGUUAUGGAACCUGUUCUGCAAGGACACCACACUACUGGGUUUGCAGAAUCAGGGUAUGAUUGGUCUAUUAUGCUGUUCAGUGUUCCAUGUAUAAAGACACCAUGUACUUUUUUUUUUUUUUUGGGGUAAGGCUUAGAAUAUUUUUGUCUUAUUUCAUUUGACAUUUAUUGCGUGUCCAUUUGCUAGGUCCGGAGGUAUAUGCUGGUGAUGCAAAGUUGAGUAAGAUGUGGGCCUUGCCCUCGGAACAUUCAGACUGCAGCUUGGAGGAAAUGUCUGCUCUAGACACAAGUGGAAGCUGCAUACAUCAUGCCAACUCAGAAGAGAACAAAGGAAUUUGUCAAGAGAUAAUGUCAGACUCUUCAGACACAUUCCAAUUGAUUAUUGCAUUUGGAAGAUUUCUAGACAUUUGUUGAUCUAAAGAAGGAUUUUCAAUAAUGAAGAUCUUUAAAACGGCCAGAGUAAUCUUUUUCGAAAAGUGAAGUAAUAAACUGGUUGAUCAGAACUGCCCCAAAUAAACUGAAACAUCCCCGGAAAAAUUCUGAAGAGCAUGUAGGAUCAGACAAGAAUCAAUAAACUCUGUACAAUCAAAAUGUGUGUAGUGCUGUUUACAACCUCCAGCAGGAUCCAGAAGAAAGAACGCCAGCUGAGCCUCCAUUGACUGCACACCAAACAGGUGUGAGUUCCUGCACUGUUGACGGCAUAGCGUUUUUCUACUCUUCGAGGUGCUUCUUCCCAAUCACGGUAAUUUUAUAUCCAGCCGCUGCUGGAGUCGUGCCAGUCUUGCUCCUUAAUUAUUCAAUCACGUUCUUAACAAUUCAUGUUACAAAAACUCACGCCGCAGGAGAAAUGCCUGUACAAAUUCUUCAGUCUAGGAGGCAGGUGAGGACCCCACCAUCUAGGCUUCAUCUGCUUAAGCUGCCGGCUCAGCAGAUAAUACAGCAGAUGGUUAGGAAGGUAGGCUUGAAGAUCGCUCUACCUCUGUUCAAAUUCCAGCUCCUGUACUUGCGAGCUGUGCUCUCUGAGGCAAGUUAUGGGAAUUCUUUAUGCCUUAAUUUCUUCAUCUGUAAAAUGGUGGUGAUGGUGAUACUAUUACCCCUGCAACAGUAUUGUGGAAAUCAGACCAGAGUUACUGGAUCUACAUAUGUAGAGCAUGGGCCAUCCUUAGCAUGCGGUCCUCAAACACUGGAGAGGGCGUUUCUACUCUCGGCUGUCUGGAUGGCCAUUUCUUAACAUAGGCUUCUUUGCUUCUGUUGUUCCCUCUAAUAAGCAUGCUAUUUCAUUCAUGUUGUUUCAUCCUGCUCAAAUUUAUCUACUCCCAUACGUCUUUUCUGAUACAUGUCUUUUAUGAGCUUUUUAAAUGGAUGGAACUUCCUUCCCUUUGUGUCUAUUGUACAUCCUUUCCCCCGGAGACUUAAGUGAAAACCAUUCGAGUGAUUGAUUAUAUAUGCGUAAUGUACACAUAUAUUUAUAUUUGUGUCAAAGCUGUCAUUUGUGGCUCCUGCAGGUGCUAGAGAAAACCUGAAAUCCAGGACUGUUCCUGUAUGCCUUGUGAUUUUGCUAGAUUAGACGUGCGUGUUCCAGUUCGUGAUAUGUAAUUAUGUUUGUGAACAGGUUACCCAGUCUUCAGAGACUUUUAAUGCCAGGAAACAAACUGAGGGCUGCUGGUGGGGGUGGGACAGAUGGGGUGGCUGGGUGAUGGACACUGG